GAUGAACGCUGGCGGCGUGCCUAAUACAUGCCAGUCGAACGCUGAAGGAAGGAGCUUGCUCUUUCCGGAUGAGUUGCGAACGGGUGAGUAACGCGUAGGUAACCUGCCUGGUAGCGGGGGAUAACUAUUGGAAACGAUAGCUAAUACCGCAUAACAGUAGAUGUUGCAUGAUAUCUACUUAAAAGUUGCAAUUGCACCACUAACAGAUGGACUUGCGUUGUAUUAGCUAGUUGGUGAGGUACCGGCGCACCAAGGCGAGGAAACGUAGCCGACCGGAGAGGGUGGGCAGCCAGACUGGGAGUGGGACACGGCCCAGACUCCUACGGGAGGCAGCAGGAGGGAAUCUUCAGGCAUGGGCGGAAAGCUGACCGAACAACGCCGCGGGAGUGAAGAAGGUUGUCGGGUCGUAAAGCUCUGUUGUAGGAGAAGAACGAGGGUGAGAGUGGAACGUGCACACAGUGACGGUAUCUUACCAGAAAGGAACGGCUAACUACGUG
rnacentral:rRNA from 1 species